rnacentral:lncRNA from 1 species
UAUUUUGGAAUAAUUGACUUGCAGAUUUUUCCUUUUAUUUUCAAAAUAUAUGGCAAUAUUUUUAGAAUGAGUUAAUAGAAAUAUUUAAUUCAUAGUAAAUCAAUAGUACUGUUUCCUUAUAUCUAGAAUGACUAUGAUGUUGGCUAUAAAUAUGAAGCCUUCUUUCACACGUCAUUAUUUUCAAGAAUGACAUAUUCUCAAGCAAUGUGUGGAGUAAAGAAUUAUUACAUGAUGCAUUACUGUAAUUCCAGCACUUCGGAGGCUGAAGCAGGAGGGUCGUUGCAAAUUCAAGACCAGUCUGGGAUACAGAGUGAGCUCAAGUCUACCCUGGACUGCAUAGUGAGACUCUGUCUCAAAAAUACAAAAAUACAAUUAUUAGAGCUGAUUUUCCACUCAGAAUAAUCUUUUCCUUUCCUUUACUCUAGCCCUUUUAUAUUAGCUAAUGUUCACCUCCAAUGUAAGCUGUGUACAAAGCCAGCUACCCUGGUCGGGUCUGAGGAUGUAGGCACCUUACUCCAUCAACUGCUUUUAUAUUAUCCCAUAGAUCAUUUUAUUUUUUAAAACUUAACUUCUCUUUCUCCCUGGAUGGAAUUUCAGCAUCCUCAGUGGUACUAUCUUGGUGAGCAUGUCACGUAAGUAAAUAUUAAUCAGAGUAUUAAGUGCAAUUAUUAUCAGGUUCCCUUGGGAAAUAAAAAAUAAGAGACUGUUUACUCUUGACAUUCUCUUCACUGACUUGGAACACGUGAGAGAAGCAAUAAAGGAUGCUAACAAAGUAUUUCUUUGAACAGUCUGAACCUGGUAGGUUUGCUAAAUUUUAAUAGUAAAAACAAGGGCAGAUAAUGGUGCACCGCUUCUAUGGUUAUUUCUUU